CAGUCGCCGCGGGAAUACGGAGGGGGCUAGCGUUGUUCGGAAUUAAUGGGCGUAAAGCGCACGUAGGCGGCUUGGUAAGUUAGAGGUGAAAGCCCAAGGCUCAACCCUGGAAUUGCCUUUAAGACUGCCGAGCUAGUAGGUGAGAGAGGUGAGUGGAAUUCCGAGUGUAGAGGUGAAAUUCGUAGAUAUUCGGAAGAACACCAGUGGCGAAGGCGGCUCACUGGCUCAUUCUAGACGCUGAGGUGCGAAAGCGUGGGGAGCAAACAGGAUUAGAUACCCGCGUAGUCCCUGUCUCUUAUAC
rnacentral:rRNA from 1 species